rnacentral:rRNA from 1 species
AGUGAACGCUGGCGGUAGGCCUAACACAUGCAAGUCGAACGGCAGCACAGUAAGAGCUUGCUCUUACGGGUGGCGAGUGGCGGACGGGUGAGGAAUACAUCGGAAUCUACUUUUUCGUGGGGGAUAACGUAGGGAAACUUACGCUAAUACCGCAUACGACCUACGGGUGAAAGCAGGGGAUCUUCGGACCUUGCGCGAUUGAAUGAGCCGAUGUCGGAUUAGCUAGUUGGCGGGGUAAAGGCCCACCAAGGCGACGAUCCGUAGCUGGUCUGAGAGGAUGAUGAGCCACACUGGAACUGAGACACGGUCCAGACUCCUACGGGAGGCAGCAGUGGGGAAUAUUGGACAAUGGGCGCAAGCCUGAUCCAGCCAUACCGCGUGGGUGAAGAAGGCCUUCGGGUUGUAAAGCCCUUUUGUUGGGAAAGAAAAGCAGCAGGUUAAUACCCCGCUGUUCUGACGGUGCCCAAAGAAUAAGCACCGGCUAACUUCGUG